GACGAACGCUGGCGGCGUGCUUAACACAUGCAAGUCGAACGGAAAGGCCCUGCUUUUGUGGGGUGCUCGAGUGGCGAACGGGUGAGUAACACGUGAGUAACCUGCCCUUGACUUUGGGAUAACUUCAGGAAACUGGGGCUAAUACCGGAUAGGAGCUCCUGCUGCAUGGUGGGGGUUGGAAAGUUUCGGCGGUUGGGGAUGGACUCGCGGCUUAUCAGCUUGUUGGUGGGGUAGUGGCUUACCAAGGCUUUGACGGGUAGCCGGCCUGAGAGGGUGACCGGCCACAAUGGGACUGAGAGACGGCCCAGAAUGCAACGGGAGGCAGCAGUGGGGAAUAUUGCACAAUGGGCGGAAGCCUGAUGCAGCAACGCCGCGUGCGGGAUGACGGCCUUCGGGUUGUAAACCGCUUUCGCCUGUGACGAAGAGUGAGUGACGGUAAUGGGUAAAGAAGCACCGGCUAACUACGUG
rnacentral:rRNA from 1 species